rnacentral:lncRNA from 1 species
AACCAACGCCUCCAUGUCUCUUUCUCUCAUCACCGUGUCGUUGCCCCGCCCAUCAAGCCGAUUAGCAAUUAUUCUCGGUUCGAAAUCCAACUCAAGGACGGUGUUCCAAAUCAAACUUGAGGUCGUCGUCGUUGCCGAUAAUUUUUUUUCCAUGCAUAAAGGUGACGCAGGCAACGUCUUCUUCGACAAAAGAUUCGCCAUCUUCAGAGAAAGUCGUCAGCGAAAGAAUUGAGGCUGGAUCGGCG